GGAAGUGUGGCAUAAUGGUUUGAGCAUUGGACUGCAACUCUCGAGAGCAGGGUUCGAAUCCCCGCUCGGCCA